GAUGAACGCUGGCGGCGUGCCUAACACAUGCAAGUCGAACGGGAAUCUUCGGAUUCUAGUGGCGGACGGGUGAGUAACGCGUAAGAAUCUAACUUCAGGACGGGGACAACAGUUGGAAACGACUGCUAAUACCCGAUAUGCCGCAAGGUGAAACCUAAUUGGCCUGAAGAAGAGCUUGCGUCUGAUUAGCUAGUUGGUGGGGUAAAAGCCUACCAAGGCGACGAUCAGUAGCUGGUCUGAGAGGAUGAGCAGCCACACUGGGACUGAGACACGGCCCAGACUCCUACGGGAGGCAGCAGUGGGGAAUUUUCCGCAAUGGGCGAAAGCCUGACGGAGCAACGCCGCGUGAGGGAGGAAGGUCUUUGGAUUGUAAACCUCUUUUCUCAAGGAAGAAGUUCUGACGGUACUUGAGGAAUCAGCCUCGGCUAACUCCGUGCCAGCAGCCGCGGUAAAAC
rnacentral:rRNA from 1 species